rnacentral:rRNA from 1 species
UUCCGGUUGAUCCUGCCGGAGGCCAUUGCUAUCGGAGUCCGAUUUAGCCAUGCUAGCUGUGCGGGUUUAGACCCGCAGCGGAAAGCUCAGUAACACGUGGCCAAACUACCCUGUGGAUGGGAACAAUCUCGGGAAACUGAGGCUAAUUCCCAAUAACGCUCCACCCCUGGAACGGGCGGAGCUGGAAACGCUACGGCGCCACAGGAUGUGGCUGCGGUCGAUUAGGUAGACGGUGGGGUAACGGCCCACCGUGCCAAUAAUCGGUACGGGUUGUGAGAGCAAGAGCCCGGAGACGGAAUCUGAGACAAGAUUCCGGGCCCUACGGGGCGCAGCAGGCGCGAAACCUUUACACUGUACGCAAGUGCGAUAAGGGGACUCCGAGUGUGAAGGCAUAGAGCCUCCACUUUUGUACACCGUAAGGUGGUGUACGAAUAAGGGCUGGGCAAGACCGGUGCCAGCCGCCGCGGUAAUACCGGCAGCCCGAGUGAUGGCCGAUAUUAUUGGGCCUAAAGCGUCCGUAGCUGGCCGGACAAGUCCGUUGGGAAAUCUGUUCGCUUAACGAGCAGGCGUCCAGCGGAAACUGUUCGGCUUGGGACCGGAAGACCUGAGGGGUACGUCCGGGGUAGGAGUGAAAUCCUGUAAUCCUGGACGGACCACCGGUGGCGAAAGCGCCUCAGGAGAACGGAUCCGACAGUGAGGGACGAAAGCUAGGGUCUCGAACCGGAUUAGAUACCCGGGUAGUCCUAGCUGUAAACGAUGCCCGAUAGGUGUGGCGCAGGCUACGAGCCUGCGCUGUGCCGUAGGGAAGCCGAGAAGCGGGCCGCCUGGGAAGUACGUCUGCAAGGAUGAAACUUAAAGGAAUUGGCGGGGGAGCACUACAACCGGAGGAGCCUGCGGUUUAAUUGGAGUCAACGCCGG